CUUGUUUAGGUGCCCAGCCCCGACCAAGAUCAAUAAUGCCUUAAGAUAAUUAAAAUUAUCCCUCUCAUGCAUAUUAACUUAACUUUAAUUAUCUUAACUUUACAAAUCCACCACUUGAACAAGAUAAACUUAUCUAUAACAAAAAAGAAGACAAGAUACAUUCAAGAUUUAAUAGAAAAUGAAAAGGUUCAAUAAAGCAUGUCUUUUAUUUUAUUAUUACAUUAAAAAAUUACAAUCAAUAGGAAAACCCCUCUUGUGAAUUUUGAAAGCAGCGCAGCAGCAGCAGCAGAAUCUAGGAAAAUGACCACCAGAUUUACUUUCUGACAUCUCGUUUUGGCUUUCACUUGCUUUAUCCUGUGUAAACAUCUGCAGUCUCAGCAACGCUCUGCCAAAAUUAAUAAUGGAAACCAAAAGAGGUAACAAGAAAUUCAAGAUCCAUCCAACCAUUCAUAAUAGUAUGCAACUAUUAAUUCACAAUAAACCCCACAAUGCAAAAUAAUUUACAACCAAACCCUAAACUUCACAGAUCCAUGAAAAAGAAAAAGAGAUAAUAGCAGCAAAAGAAGAUAAAAGUGUAGCAUUAUAAGAUCACAUCAAUCUUUGGCUAGACGAUGAAGUGAGAAAGGAGAAAGAUGUAGAGCUCCCUUCAAUCCAAACAAGGAUCUAACUUUUAAGGUAAUGAAGCUCCUGAGAUAUGGAAGCCGCAAGCCUAUCCCUCCCAACAUGGGAUAGGACUGUGGGAUCCAUAGCCAAGCAGCUCAAUAUACCCAGCAAGAACCUCUAUUGGACUUCAAGGAGCUCCAUUCCUAACCCCCCACCUUCUUACUUUAGAUUACAUCUAAAUACUUGGGUUGAUUUUCUUCUUCCUAAUAGCCAUAUUUAUUCACUAAAACCUGACGACUUUAAACAAACACUUACCCUAACCCUAGACAACUUACCAUAAACGGGAAGAAAAUACAGAAGCAAGAUUAAAAGCAAAGGCAAAACACAUCUUUUCUUUUCCCCUAUAAACUGAAAAACCGAAAGUACACAACUAUUUGACUAAACGAUCAAUCUUUAGUUAAGAUGAGAAGAUGUGAUCUCUCAACCCCACUAGAGAAAAAAGCCAAACAUUUUUUUUCCAUCACAAAAGCAAAUCCAUGAAACUAGACUAAAAAACAAAAAUCUCGGAACAGAUCCAAGACCCUUUAAAGCAAAAGCCAGACCAUACUUUAACCCGACUUCACCUACAAGAUGGUCUGAGUGCUAAGUAGAUCUUCAAACCCAAAACUUGAAGCCUCGGAGACGCUCCUGGUGUGAACCAAGGAGACCCCCAAGAGUGAACAACCCUACCUACCGAGGCCUUUGGUUACCUUCAAUAAUAAAAAGAAGAGGGUGGUAGCCAAGGGUUAAAUACUAAUAGCGGCCUAGGGUUUUGAUCAAAUAAAUAAAUGAUGAUGGUUUGGUGGUGGGUCGGGAAGUGAGCUGUAUUUGCUGUUUUCCUUGCCCUUUCCAUAAAAUUUUUUUAAAGCAAAAUAAAUAAAGAGGCUGCUCCCUGGCCUUUGCCUUUAUCAUGAAAGAGUCUCGGGAACCGGCCACAUUAGAUUCCCUGUUUUGAUAAUCACAAUUUCACAUGCCUUCGAAAACUGGUGAACAACCGAGCCCCACGAUAUUUACUACUCACCGGCCCCUAUCUUAUCUUAUCGUCAUUACCAGAUUGCCUCACCCUCUUAACAAUGUUUCUCCUUCACCAAAUUUUGAAACAUACAGUGCUCAUUUGGAUUCUCCUCAACCUGCUUUUCGACACGUUCAACAUGUUUUUUUUUGUACGAUCGCAUUGUAGGAAGCUCUUUAGAUAUUUGCGGUGGAACGGUAGUAACCACAGCAAGUUUGAAUCCAUGUAAUUUUUGUAUUAUCCGAAUUUUAUUUAAAACUUUAGCUGGAUAAAUUGUUUGAGU
rnacentral:lncRNA from 1 species